GUACACGCUGUGACUAGCAUAUCAAUAAGCGGAGGAAAAGAAACUAACAAGGAUUCCCCUAGUAACGGCGAGUGAAGCGAGAAGGAGCUCAAAUUUGAAAUCUUAAAGGGUUUCCCUUUACGAAUUGUAGUUUAAAGAAGUGUUUUCUGUUGAGGUUUUGGUAAAAGUUCUUUGGAAUAGGACAUCAUAGAGGGUGAGAAUCCCGUAUUUGACCUUUACUUUCAACUUUGUGAUACACUUUCAAAGAGUCGGAUUGUUUGGGAAUGCAGUCCAAAAUGGGUGGUAAAUUUCAUCUAAAGCUAAAUAUUGGCGAGAGGACCGAUAGCGAACAAGUACCGUGAGGGAAAGAUGAAAAGAACUUUGAAAAGAGAGUUAAACAGUACGUGAAAUUGUCAAAAGGGAAGCGUUUGACACCAGUGUUGUUUUUCUGAAAAUCAAUUAAAGAACUGUUUAUGCUAAGUUGUUUAGACUUUAUCAGCUAACUGUUUAGUUUUGAGCUUUUCUUUAAUGCACUUUUCAGUUAACAAGUCAACAUCAAUUUCUUUUGCUGUAAAAAAGCUUGAGGAAGGUGGCUUGAGAUUCGUCUUAAGUGUUUAUAGCCUCUUGCCUAUGCAGUCGGAGAGAUUGAGGUCUGCAGCGUAGAUCCUUCGGGGCUAAAUGCAUUUGUGCUAAGUUAUAGCAUUUUAUAGACAACUUGUUGACUAUGAUUUGUCUUGUAGCUUACUCGCUUAUGUUAUUUUACCUACGCUUAGGAUGUUGAGUCGUAGAGCACGCAG
rnacentral:rRNA from 1 species